rnacentral:rRNA from 1 species
AGAGUUUGAUCCUGGCUCAGGAUAAACGCUGGCGGCGUGCCUAACACAUGCAAGUCGAACGCCCUUUUCUGCAAAGGAGAGGGAGUGGCGGACGGGUGAGGAACACGUGGGUGACCUACCCCCCGGUGAGGAAUACCGCCGAGAAAUCGGCGACAAGACCGCAUAGGCUUCCUCUGUGGGGAAGCAAAGCUUUUUUUCGUGAGAAGAAAGGCGCCAGGGGAUGGGCCUGCGUCCGAUUAGCUAGUUGGUGGGGUAAUGGCUCACCAAGGCUGCGAUCGGUAGCUGGUCUGAGAGGAUGAGCAGCCACACUGGGAUUGAGAACGGCCCAGACUCCUACGGGAGGCAGCAGUGAGGAAUUUUCCACAAUGGGGGCAACCCUGAUGGAGCAACGCCGCGUGCAGGAAGACGCUUUUCGGAGUGUAAACUGCUUUUCCCAGGGACGAGUAUGG